AGAGCGAACGCUGGCGGCAUGCUUAACACAUGCAAGUCGCACGGGCAGGGGAAACUCUGUCAGUGGCGGACGGGUGAGUAACGCGUAGGUAUCUGUCCAUGGGUGGGGGAUAACGGCGGGAAACUGCUGCUAAUACCGCAUGAUGCCCGAGGGCCAAAGGCGCGAGUCGCCUGUGGAGGAGCCUGCGUCCGAUUAGCUAGUUGGUGGGUAAAGGCCUACCAAGGCUAUGAUCGGUAGCUGGUCUGAGAGGAUGAUCAGCCACACUGGGACUGAGACACGGCCCAGACUCCUACGGAGGCAGCAGUGGGGAAUAUUGGACAAUGGGCGCAAGCCUGAUCCAGCAAUGCCGCGUGGUGAAGAAGGUCUUCGGAUUGUAAAGCCCUUUCGGCGGGGACGAUGAUGACGGUACCCGCAGAGAAGCCCCGGCUAACUUCGUGCCAGCAGCCGCGGUAA
rnacentral:rRNA from 1 species